rnacentral:rRNA from 1 species
CCUACGGGAGGCUGCAGUGGGGGAUUUUGCACAAUGGGCGCAAGCUUGAUGCAGCGACGCCGCGUGAGGGAUGAGGGCCUUCGGGUUGUAAACCUCUUUCGCUGGGUUGAAAGGCCAUGCUUUGGGUGUGGUUGAUUUGAACUGGUAAAGAAGUACCGGCUAACUACGUGCCAGCAGCCGCGGUAAUACGUAGGGUACUAGCGUUGUCCGGAUUUAUUGGGCGUAAAGGGCUUGUAGGUGGUUUGUCGCGUCUGUCGUGAAAUCCUGUGGCUUAACCAUGGGCUUGCGGUGGGUACGGGCAGGCUUGAGUGCGGUAGGGGAGACUGGAAUUCCUGGUGUAGCGGUGGAAUGCGCAGAUAUCAGGAGGAACACCGGUGGCGAAGGCGGGUCUCUGGGCCGUUACUGACGCUGAGGAGCGAAAGCGUGGGGAGCGAACAGGCUUAGAUACCCCAGUAGUC